GUCAAGUAAGAAUACCCGCUGAACUUAAGCAUAUCAAUAAGCGGAGGAAAAGAAACUAACUAGGAUUCCCUUAGUAACGGCGAGUGAACUGGGAAGAGCUCAAAUUUUAAAUCACUUCGGUGAAUUGUAAUUUAAAGAAAGUGUUUUGACUUUUCAGUUUAAUCUAAAUCCUUUGGGAUGAGGUAUCAUAGAGGGUGAGAAUCCCGUUCGUGAUUAAACCUCGGAUUGCACUAAUUCACUUUCUAAGAGUCGAGUUGUUUGGGAUUGCAGCUCUAAAUGGGUGGUAAAUUUCACCUAAGGCUAAAUAUAUGCAAGAGACCGAUAGCGAACAAGCACCGUGAGGGAAAGAUGAAAAGAACUUUGAAAAGAGAGUUAAACAGUACGUGAAAUUGUUGAAAGGGAAACGAUUGAAGUCAGUCAUGCUAGUAAGGAAUCAACUUGGCGGUGUGGGUUUGGGUUUGUAAAGUAGGGCAACCACUUGCAUAUCUUUUUCUCGCUCUUUCUUGUGUACUUUCUUUCUUGGCAGGUUAGCAUCAAUUUUAGUUGUCAUCAAAGAAUUGGGGAAAUGUGGCUUCUCUUCGGGGAAGUGUUUAUAGAUCCUGAUAGAUGUGGCGACUGAAAUUGAGGAUUGCAGCGGAUGCCUUUGGCUAGUCAUCUGUCUUCUGACCGUCACCUCGCUUUUGACAGCUUGCUGAUGAUUGCGGGAUUUGGUGGCCUAGAAGUUAGAAUGUACAUAAAUUCGCUAAGGAUGCUGACGUAAUGGCUUUAAACGACCCGUCUUGAAACACGGACCGAGGAAUCUAACAUGUGUGCGAGUGUU
rnacentral:rRNA from 1 species